CUUCUCACAGCAAACGGCAGGAGCUGAAGAGGCAGACGGAUGCCUGAGAACCUUCCAGUGCCGAUAAAAGGAAAGUCUUUCCGGCCACAAGACUUCUCUAUUAAUUAAGUCCACAAAGCAAGUUCCUUGUCCGACUAUUUUUUUCAUGAUAAUUGCUGCAGCGUCUGGCUCUGACAGAAAGGAACCACAGCUCAGUGUCAGAAAUAGUUGUGGUUCCAAGGUCCUAAUGACACAGGGAUGGCAGCCUUCGCGGAGAAAAAAAGACAAACGUCAAUUAGCACAGACUUUUGAACGCGAGCCAGAAAUGUCUCAAAGCAAAGGCCAGUCGCCAUGGAUCAAAGGUCCCCCCUUUGUAUAUAUACACGCACACCUUUUUCUUUUGUUUUCUCUUCUCUUAAAUUAGC
rnacentral:lncRNA from 1 species